rnacentral:rRNA from 1 species
AUUGAACGCUGGCGGCAGGCCUAACACAUGCAAGUCGAACGAGUGGCGGACGGGUGAGUAAUGUCUGGGAACCUGCCCGAUGGAGGGGGAGAACAACUGGAAACGGUAGCUAAUACCGCAUACCAUGGGAUGUGCCCAGAUGGGAUUAGCUAGUAGGUGGGGUAACGGCACACCUAGGCGACGAUCCCUAGCUGGUGUGUGAGGAUGACCAGCCACACUGCAACUGAGACACGGUCCAGACUCCUACGGGAGGCAGCAGUGGGGAAUAUUGCACAAUGGGCGCAAGCCUGAUGCAGCCAUGCCGCGUGUAUGAAGAAGGCCUUCGGGUUGUAAAGUACUUUCAGCGGGGAGGCGUUACCCGAAGAAGAAGCACCGGCUAACUCCGUGCCAGCAGCCGCGGUAAUAC